UCCCUGGUGGUCCAGUGGUUAAGGACUCAGCACUUUCACUGCUGUGACCUGGGUUCAAUCCCUGGUCAAGGAA